rnacentral:rRNA from 1 species
GUCCACGCCGUAAACGAUGUCGAUUUGGAGGCUGUGUCCUUGAGACGUGGCUUCCGGAGCUAACGCGUUAAAUCGACCGCCUGGGGAGUACGGCCGCAAGGUUAAACUCAAUGAAUUGACGGGCCGGCACAAGCGGUGGAGCAUGUGGUUUAAUUCGAUGCAACGCGAAGAACCUUACCUGGCCUUGACAUGUCUGGAAUCCUGUAGAGAUACGGGAGUGCCUUCGGGAAUCAGAACACAGGUGCUGCAUGGCUGUCGU